CCGAUUGAAUGCCAUACAUUUUCAAUUGCAGUCGAUGAACCAAAAUCAGGUGAUUUUCCUGGGCGGUAUGCUAAGAUACUCCAUAAUCCACGAGGAUUGCUUACCCAAAAAAGAAGAUAUUUAUCAGCAAGGAAAUAAAUUGAACUAAACAAAAAUUACGUGAAGAGAAAAAAAGUGACGAAGAGCAUCAUGUGGUAAGAACUCGAAAACAUCUGAGAAGCCUAAGUAUACCUGCUGCGCCUAUUUAUUUUCUCAUUAGCACUUUUUCUGCCUCGUCCUCUAGAAUAUUGACGUUGCUCACUAACUGGAGAGGUAGAACUACUGACAUCAUCUCCCUAGUAGCUCAAACAGAAGCCAAUGAGAUGCAAAUAAAAUUGAAAUUCAUAUGUAGAAAAUGAGUCAUUGUAAUAAGCAUAAUAAGGUACUGAUACAUGGAUAUGAAGAACACAUAAAAUUACAUGAAUGUUUUAAUUGCUCCCUCUUGGGAGGUUAUAAAGUUAGGGCAUUGGGCAUGAGUAAGUCUUCAGGAAACUCAUUCUUUCCAGUCGCUUUUUCUGCAAUACAUGAUUCCAUUGGUACUGCAGGCUACAGCUUAUGCAUAAUUUGCAGCUUCAGAACCCCUAAACUCAAUAGAGAACUUUUGCCAAGGGAGUUAAAUGUGUCGUCCAACAAACAACCACGAGUAGAGCAAUGACAGCCUCAACUAACUCAAUGAGAUAAAAAGCGGGAUGCUAUGCCUAUGUAACCUAGAGGUCUGUUUACAUACUGAUUUCAUUUUCUUGCUUUCCCAGUUUAGUUAUUUCUUCUUAUGUUUCAAAACAUUGAUCUAAUAUGUGUUUAUUUUUGGAGAAAAAUGACAUUCCGAUUACUCUUUUUAGGUGUGAAUAAUGUUGCUAGGCUGAUAGUUGAAAGAGUUUAAAUAACUUUGAUCUCUAUACGGGUAGCUCCUUAACAUUGC
rnacentral:lncRNA from 1 species